rnacentral:rRNA from 1 species
AUGCGGCACUCCUCCCCAAAUCCAGCGGUGGUCCAGGCGUCGCAAACGGUGGCCAGUGACGCCAGAAUGGCCGCCGGCGCCGGCGACCUCCCUCUGGUCCGCGAGCGGCGUUGGGAAGAAGAAGGGAACGACGCCCCCUCCCUGCCAGCUGGUCGUGGGCCCUGCGAGCCCCGCGCGUCAGUGAGCCAGCCACUGGCUCCGUGCCUGCCAGCGUGGAUAGUGGAGACGUAUUCCUCUGGAGUACGUUUUCCUUUCCCAAAGGCGCAUUCCUCUUCUACUUCAGCCCGGAAUACGUUUUCAAUUCAGAGAAAGCGUACUUCCAGAGAGGAGCGUUCUGUUUUUCCGGCUGAGGGUCUGUUUGUGAUGAUUUCAUUACAAAUAGGUCCCUGGCAAAAAAACCUUCAUAUCUUUUUACCCGUAGCUCCAAAUCAGGUGAAUCCAAAGCCCACUUCUUUGUUUCGUCGAGCCCGUUCCGAUGGAAUCAUUUUUACCAGGUUUUGA